AUGAGACGUGACCGCAUGGUCGACGUUUGGAAAGAAUUUCGGUCAGGGAUGAGCUCGCGGCCUAUCAGCUUGUUGGUGAGGUAAUGGCUCACCAAGGCGUCGACGGGUAGCCGGCCUGAGAGGGUGACCGGCCACACUGGGACUGAGACACGGCCCAGACUCCUACGGGAGGCAGCAGUGGGGAAUAUUGCACAAUGGGCGAAAGCCUGAUGCAGCAACGCCGCGUGAGGGACGACGGCCUUCGGGUUGUAAACCUCUUUUAGCAGGGAAGAAGCGAAAGUGACGGUACCUGCAGAAAAAGCGCCGGCUAACUACGUGCCAGCAGCCGCGGUAAUACGUAGGGCGCAAGCGUUAUCCGGAAUUAUUGGGCGUAAAGAGCUCGUAGGCGGUUUGUCGCGUCUGCUGUGAAAACUGGAGGCUCAACCUCCAGCCUGCAGUGGGUACGGGCAGACUAGAGUGCGGUAGGGGAGAUUGGAAUUCCUGGUGUAGCGGUGGAAUGCGCAGAUAUCAGGAGGAACACCGAUGGCGAAGGCAGAUCUCUGGGCCGUAACUGACGCUGAGGAGCGAAAGGGUGGGGAGCAAACAGGCUUAGAUACCCUGGUAGUCCACCCCGUAAA
rnacentral:rRNA from 1 species